rnacentral:lncRNA from 1 species
GCCCCCCUCUCGCCCCAGCCGGUGACAGGCUGUUGCCCUGUGAUCUGCAGGUCCUGGGACGUGCACAGACAGCUAAGAUGCCAGGACAUUCCAGAAGGUGGGAAAGGGGAUCGUCACUCCCGUGGAUGAUCAAAGCUACUCCGGGGGCUGAGGCAGGAGAAUCGCUUGAACUCGGGAAGCAGAAGUUGCAGUGAGCCAAGGUCGCACCACUGCACUCCAGCCCAGGCGACAUUGUGAGACUCCAUCUCAAAAAAAAAAAAAAGAAAAAAAGUGUACUAACAAGACCCAGCACACAGAGGAGACUUUUACCAUUGUAUGAACACCCAUCAAACAGUACACAUCAUCAUUGUGAGUUCUGAAUCUCACACAUAGAGGAAGUCAAAGGUGGAAAACUUGACUCUCAUAUUUGGAUCCAGUCCACAGGUUCUGCUAGCAAGGAAGACUGAGACAUAUUGUGGGGCUCUACGCCAAUGUGACAUUACUGUUCUGCCUUGGCCUGUACCUGAAAAGGCAUUGUGACAUAUUGCUGGGCCCAGCAACAAGGUGGCAUGAGUCUUCCGUAUGGACCCUGACAACAGAGCAUUGUGACAUAUCUUUAAGAGCAUCAACUAUUUGAUGUGACUCUCCUUUUCUACCAAGGCUUUCCUCAUAUGAGAGAUUGUGACACAUCUUCUGGCACAGAAAUCAAGUGAUGUGUUUCUCCUGCCUGAGCUUUGCUCAUAGAAAGCAUUGUGACAUAUCUCUGGUCUCAGCACCCAGGUGUGAUUUUGACGCACACUUCUGCCCAGCACCUGAGUAAUGUGAUUCUUCAGAAUUGGCCCGGCCCACAAAUAGGAUUGUGCCACACUGCUGGACCCAGUGCCUAAGUGAUGUAACUCUAUUCUUCUGCCUUGGUGCUACUCGAAAAAGACAUUGUAACAUAUCUCAGAGCCUUACACCCAGGUAAUGUGAGUCUCCUCUUCUGCCUUGCUGCUGCACACAGAAGCGGAAUAUGUACAGGAUUGUUAAUCUCAUCUUGGAUCUUCCUGCACUUGUGAUUGUGACACAUGCCUCUGUGUAGAACCUGAGUCUUCAGAUUCCACCACUUGUCAACCACAAAAUAUUUAAAUUUACCUGGAAGCCGCCCGCUUUGAGUUGUCCCGCCUUUCUGAACCAAACCAAUAUAUUCCUGCAAAACCGGCCAUGAUUAAAACAUCAAAAAAUAAUACAUGUUGGCGUGGCUGUGGUGAAAAAAGAAUACUUUUUCACUGCUGGUGGGUAUGUAAACUAGUACAACCACUAUGAAAAACAGUAUGGAGAUUCAUUAAAUAAAAGUAAAGCUACCAUUUGAUUAAGCAA